GACGAACGCUGGCGGCGCGCUUAACACAUGCAAGUCGAGCGAAGCGGCGGACGGGUGAGUAACACGUGAGUAACCUGCCUUAGACAUUGGGAUAGCCUCGGGAAACCGGGAUUAAUACCAAAUGGUCUAAGAUGGACUCGCGUCCCAUUAGCUAGUUGGUGGGUAACGGCCCACCAAGGCGACGAUGGGUAGCCGGCCCGAGAGGGUGAACGGCCAAAUUGGAACUGAGGAACGGUCCAAACUCUACGGGGGGGAGGCGGGGGGGAUAGUUCACAAUGGAGGGAACUCUGAUGCCGCGACGGCGCGUGAACGAAGAAGGCUUUCGAGUCGUAAAGUUCUUUUAUAUGGGAAGCGGUACCAAAAGAAAAAGCCCCGGCUAACUACGUGCCAGCAGCCGCGGUAAUAC
rnacentral:rRNA from 1 species